rnacentral:rRNA from 1 species
CCUACGGGAGGCAGCAGUGGGGAAUAUUGCACAAUGGGGGAAACCCUGAUGCAGCGACGCCGCGUGAGUGCAGAAGUAAUUCGUUAUGUAAAGCUCUAUCAGCAGGGAAGAAAAUGACGGUACCUGUGUAAGAAGCCCCGGCUAACUACGUGCCAGCAGCCGCGGUAAUACGUAGGGGGCAAGCGUUAUCCGGAUUUACUGGGCGUAAAGGGAGCGUAAGCGGCAAUGCAAGGCUGGAGUGAAAGGCGGGGGCACAACCCGCGGAGUGGUCUGGAAACUGUACGGCUGGAGUGCAGGAGAGGUAAGUGGAAUUCCUGGUGUAGCGGUGAAAUGCGUAGAUAUUAGGAGGAACACCAGUGGCGAAGGCGGCUUACUGGACUGUAACUGACGUUGAGGCUCGAAAGCGUGGGGAGCAAACAGGAUUAGAUACCCCUGUAGUC